ACAGAGCCCGUGAAUCCGGGCGCGCGGAAUUCAGGACCGAUGGCGGCGCGUUCGCGCGCGUCGUCGUCGAUUCGAUAUUUCCGCCGCCGACCAGUAACUCUGGUGCGGACGUCGCGACCCGUUCGCCGUCGGUCUGACGAGACGCGUUUCAAGUUCGUUGUGCGCGCCUUCGCCUCGUGUGCGGGCGCGUACGUCGAUGGCGUGUUUUCUUUCGGGCUGACGUCGUCGGACGGUAAUACGAACGCGCGGGUAAUCGACGCGACCGAUCGGCCGGACGUAAAAACUUCGGUCGGGAGUCGUGCGUCGACGCCGGUCAGCGACGAAUCUUCGGGCCUCUUUCCGACCCGUCUUGAAACACGGACCAAGGAGUCUAACGUGCGCGCGAGUCGCGGGGUAUUCGAGCCGUAACGCAGCUCGUCAUUAAUACGAAACCCGUUUUGUUACACGUACGUUGUGCUAAGGCGUAAUGAAAGUGAGGUGGCGCGUCUUCGCGACGCGUCCUACCGGGGAAGAUGGUGUUUUCCGAGUACACGUUUUUCUCGGAUUUUUAUUCCGAGGCCGGACACCCGCAUUCCCAGGGCGUCCCGUUCGUCCGUCGCGAAUGCGGACGGCGGCCGUUUCGGCGCGUCGUCGUCGGUCCGCGACGAACUGGGGCGCACCUUUAGCGUGCACGUUGGUACCCGAAAGAUGGUGAACUAUGCCCGGCCAGGAU
rnacentral:rRNA from 1 species